UACUUCUGUGUAGUUCAGAGGUUCGCCU
rnacentral:sRNA from 1 species